rnacentral:ncRNA from 23 species
UAUGGUACAAUGUAACCGUUGCUUUGCAACCCUUGGUGCUUAGUUCCCUUUCACCAAGCAUAUUAGAAACGUAGAUAGCUUUUGAGAGUUAUCCAGACGUUAAAGGAGAAAAAAUG